CCCGUGUACCCACGCACCUCCACGCUUCGGCAGCGCCCCUGGCACCACUACGCUUCCCAGUGUCCCUCCGCCGCCAGGCCUAGUGUGAGCGCACUGCCGGGGAUGAGAGUGGUUCGGUUCGGUUCCCAGCGAGCGCUGAGGCGCUGCAGAAACCCAGAAGGUACCGGCCCCCAGGACGACAUGACAGCGAUAAAAACGUCCUGAGACCAGUCCAGGGAAAUACUGUGGCUGCACCGAGAUUGCCAGCCGGCAGUGGAGACAGGCAAAAUAACGGCCCUGUUAGCUAAAAAAAUAAAAAUCAUUAAGACAGUCAAAGCAA